rnacentral:rRNA from 1 species
CACGGGGGGAGCAAGCGUUGUUCGGAAUUACUGGGCGUAAAGGGCGUCUAGGCGGUUAGGUAAGUGGGACGUGAAAUCCCUCGGCUCACCCGAGGACCUGCGUCCCAAACUGCCUAGCUUGAGUAUGGGAGAGGAUGAGGGAAUUCCUGGUGUAGCGGUGAAAUGCGUAGAUAUCAGGAGGAACACCGGUGGCGAAGGCGCUCAUCUGGCCCAAUACUGACGCUGAAGCGCGAAAGCUAGGGGAGCAAACGGG